UACUUUUAAAACAAUGAACUCUCUAUGUUGUUCAUUAAUUUAUUCUAUAACAAGUCACACAUUUAAAUGUCUACAAUGACAUUUUUCAUAAUAUUCCCUGACAUACAUAAAAGAAUUGUUAUUCAUCUUCUCAGUUUCUAAAUUUUUUUAAAUCACAUUGACAAAGAAACACAUAUGCAGUCGUACGUAAGAAGAAACUCUUGAUUUAACUAUGUUGUCCUCAGGGAUAUUUUAAUCGCUACUACUGGACCCGUCUGUUUUCUUUUCUGCCUUGGCCAGGUCAGUUAUUCUCUUCUUGUGUCUGUCAAUUGCUUCCUGUAUAAAAAAAAUAACAAAUUAAAAAAGGCUUAAAAAAAAUAUUAUUCUAUAAUCUGAAUUUACAGUAUCUGAUUUCAACAUAAAUAUAUUAGCUGUUUGUAGAAUCUUAUUAAAAUAUGUUUGUAGAAUCUUAUCAAAAUAUGUUUGUAGAAUCUUAUCAAAAUAUGUUUGUAG
rnacentral:lncRNA from 1 species